rnacentral:rRNA from 1 species
UACAGAGGGUGCGAGCGUUAAUCGGAAUUACUGGGCGUAAAGCGCACGUAGGUGGCGACGUAAGUCGGGUGUGAAAGCCCCGGGCUCAACCUGGGAAUUGCAUUCGAGACUGCAUUGCGUGGAGUACGGAAGAGGAAGGCGGAAUUCCCGGUGUAGCGGUGAAAUGCGUAGAUAUCGGGAGGAACAUCAGUGGCGAAGGCGGCCUUCUGGUC